CAGUGUGUUCUUUCUGAUUAGCUCUUAAUUGAGAUCACCUGUCACGCACGCCUUUAUUAAAGGUGAACACAAUGGGUUUGGUUUACUUUUCGCAUCGGCCUCUGUCAAUCGAGGUUGAGUUUAGUGAGGGUUGAAAGUUUUCGAUCUAGAUUGCAGAUCACUAUUGUCACUUUAUACAAACUGAAAGUAUGCGUUGUUGCGUGUUUGUUUUUGUGGGCAUUUGACUGAACAGCCCAGACAAAUAUUGCUACCAACAUGGCACUUCAAAACAGACCACCACAGUGUUAGAUGACUGACAAGAUCUAUGGGGGGGCCCCCUUUGGGCCCCCCCAUACCAACUUAGUCUUCAAAGGAAUCUAGUGCCAUGGGACUCCAGUGUCUUCAAAACAUCCUCGGAAUACAUGUGUAUGAAUGGUCCACCGAAGGGACUUCCAGAGCCAUCUUUCGGUCUUGGUCAGGAUUUGUUAGUUGCCCUUCAAUGUAGCAGGCUACGGGUUUCUGAAGAAGCCUGCUUUACGUAGCAUUGGAGUACAAAUAUUGUGCAAAAUGCUCAUGUAAUUGCACUAGCACUGGUAACCUGUAGAUUAGCUUAGUUUAACGUCAUUCGGUGCCGUCUGUCAAAUGUGUGGCUUACUUUAAGUCCACAAGGCCCUCUGGUAAACCACGUUGGAACACCCCUGGACAAGGUGAUUAGUCACUGGGUGUGUGCUAAAGUUUUGUUCCAUUUUUCACUAGUUGGUUAAGGUUUGGUAGAAUUGUUUGGAUGCUAGCGACGUGAUGGCGUAUGUACAAGAGCCUACCGUGGCCAGGCCACAGUUGCGACGGCCACGGCCAGAUGGCCUAGUGUGAGUGCAACCUUGAUUGCAUUUGAAUACUGUUUACCAUUGGAUGUUUAUGCAAUUUAUUCAUACGCUUAAUUCAUCCGCUGUAAAGCUGCAUUUGACCAUUCCAGGGUCGUUUUGUACAGGCUUUCAAUUGACCAUGUUGACUAGUUUGUGGGAAGUUUUUUUUUUUUUUUUACCCUUGCUUACAAUCCAACGGUUGCGACCACUUAUGCAACUGGGCUGUGAACUGGGCU
ensembl:lncRNA